rnacentral:rRNA from 1 species
CCCUUAGAUGUUCUGGGCGGCCCGCGCACUACAAUGGCGUGUGCAGCGAGUGCCGAAGUAGAGUUUUCCGAGGUAUUCUUGCAAUGCUCGUUUUGAUGGGGAUAGACCCUUGCAACUGUUGGUUUUGAACGAGGAAUUCCUUGUAAGCAUGGUUUAUCAUCCGACGCUGAAUGCGUCCCUGCCCUUUGUACACACCGCCCGUCGCUCCUACCGAUUGAGUGGUCCGGUGAGGCUUUGGGAUCUGAGCAAAAAGAGCGUUUCGCUCGUUUGGCUCGGAAAACUCAGUCGAACCUUAUCAUUUAGAGGAAGGAGAAGUCGUAACA